rnacentral:misc_RNA from 1 species
AGUCGUAACAAGGUAACCGUAGGUGAACCUGCGGUUGGAUCAUUAUCUAAUCAGCUAAAGUAUCAUUGGUUUUAUUACUCUUGGUACCAAGGCAAAACAUUGUUGACCUAGUUGAGUGGUAAUCACUUGACUAGGAAGGCAAACACACCCUGUGAAAUGUUAACUAGAGCAAGACUCUAUGCCAACUAUUAAGUUGGUUAAAACAUAGAGUCUUGAUAUUAAAAACACCUUUACCUAUACAAGUGAGAGUUAUUUCUAUAAAGAAAAAACAACUUUUGACAACGGAUCUCUUGGCUCUC